rnacentral:rRNA from 1 species
ACUACGGGAGGCAGCAGUGAGGAAUAUUGGUCAAUGGGCGAGAGCCUGAACCAGCCAAGUCGCGUGAGGGAAGACGGUCCUACGGAUUGUAAACCUCUUUUGUCAGGGAGCAAGGAGCGCCACGAGUGGUGCGGCGAGAGUACCUGAAGAAAAAGCAUCGGCUAACUCCGUGCCAGCAGCCGCGGUAAUACGGAGGAUGCGAGCGUUAUUCGGAUUUAUUGGGGUUAAAGGGUGCGCCGGCGGAAGCGGCAAGUCAGCGGUAAAAUUAAGGGGCUCAACCUCGCCGAGCCGUGGAAACUGCUCAUAUAGAGUGGGCGAGAUGUGUGCGGAAGGCGUGGUGUAGCGGUGAAAUGCAUAGAUAUCACGCAGAACUCCGAUUGCGAAGGCAGCAUACCGGCGCCCAACUGACGCUCAUGCACGAAAGCGUGGGUAUCGAACAGGAUUAGAUACCCUGGUAGUC